GGAGCUUGCUCCAGGCGUCGAGCGGCGGACGGGUGAGUAAUGCAUAGGAAUCUGCCCGGUAGUGGGGGAUAACCUGGGGAAACCCAGGCUAAUACCGCAUACGUCCUACGGGAGUAAGCAGGGGAUCCGUGUUCUUCGGAAUGGGGACCUUGCGCUAUCGGAUGAGCCUAUGUCGGAUUAGCUGGUUGGUGAGGUAAUGGCUCACCAAGGCGACGAUCCGUAGCUGGUCUGAGAGGAUGAUCAGCCACAUCGGGACUGAGACACGGCCCGAACUCCUACGGGAGGCAGCAGUGGGGAAUAUUGGACAAUGGGCGCAAGCCUGAUCCAGCCAUGCCGCGUGUGUGAAGAAGGCUUUCGGGUUGUAAAGCACUUUCAGUGAGGAAGAAGGCCUUGGGGUCAAUACCCCCGAGGAAGGACAUCACUCACAGAAGAAGCACCGGCUAACUCCGUGCCAGCAGCCGCGGUAAUACGGAGGGUGCGAGCGUUAAUCGGAAUUACUGGGCGUAAAGCGCGCGUAGGCGGCGUGAUAAGCCGGUUGUGAAAGCCCCGGGCUCAACCUGGGAACGGCAUCCGGAACUGUCAGGCUAGAGUGCAGGAGAGGAAGGUAGAAUUCCCGGUGUAGCGGUGAAAUGCGUAGAGAUCGGGAGGAAUACCAGUGGCGAAGGCGGCCUUCUGGACUGACACUGACGCUGAGGUGCGAAAGCGUGGGUAGCAAACAGGAUUAGAUACCCUGGUAGUCCACGCCGUAAAC
rnacentral:rRNA from 1 species